CUCAAUAUAGAGGAAGGUUUAGAGGUCAUAGAUCUCCACUGCCAUGGCAAGAAAGGAUCUUCAAUGCAGGUGCACAUGAAGUACCCAGUGGUCCAAAUCCUAUUUCUAAUAGGUGAAAACAAAAAUCCCAUACCCAGGUCACCCUCCUUAUCCAUGUUUUUGGUUUGUGUUUCUUUUUUCUUCUUCUUUUUUUCUUCUUAAUUUGGGGGCUAUAAAUAUGUAUACAGAUAAUUAGCUAUUUAUUUACUUAUAUAUAUAUAGAGAGAGAGAGAGGUCUUGGUGUUGUUAUUACUGUUAUAGCAAUGUGGGAUGAGAUCACUACAGUUCAUUCUUAUUAUUAUUGUUUCUUUUCCAAACAGAACCUAUCCUUCCAAUCAUUUAACCAUGAGGAUGUAUAUGAUAAUGAUAUCUUGGAGAAUGUCUUUUCUUGAUGUUGAAUAUGGUCAUUAUUAUGCCACAUUUCCUUCUUUAUCUGCUUCUUUUAAUAAUUCUUGUAAAUUAUCCUUAUUCACCAUGUUUUAUUUUGUUCUUGAUUAAGCUGCUUGUGUUAAUUGGCAUCUAAUUAGAAUUAAGCUUAAUUCUUUCAUAUGGCAUUGUCCAAGUUCCUUCCAAAUUGCUUGUAUAAUAUAACAAAAUCAAUACAAAUGCAUGUGGGAAUUAAUCAGUUUUUGGUUUUGGAAGAAGCUAAAAUUAAUAUUAUAGCAACCAUAUUUCACACUCUUUAAAUUGUUGAACAUUGUAUUUUCUUUUGAUAAUCAGAGAUUUAUUUUCUUAAUAAUUAGAAGGGGAAAACUUACAAAAUGGGAAAGCUACCCAAGCCAAUAGGCUUAUCCAAAUACACCCAAAAGAAUUGUUGUAAAUUGUUCAAUUUUCUGCUUCUUUUAGAUGUUUCAAUCGUAGAAGGCUAGUGUAAAUCUUGAGAUAGUGCUAUCCAAAGAAUUUGAAUGUCAAAAAUGCUACCCUAACUUCUGCAAGUUGAAAGAAAGAAACAAAUAAGGGUUUAAAGGAUUUAAAUGGGAAAAAAUAAAUAAAUAAAUUAUCUAACUUGAGAUAACGGAAGAAUUUGACAAUUACAUCCAUAAAUCUAACACUCGAAUUUUGAGUUAAAUUUUCAUCACCUUAUUUGCCAUACAAAAGAAAAAAGAAACUUAUGAGCUAAGCAAAAGAGGUAGUUGUCAUUUCAGAGGUGAUUUAUACUGUUAAUGUACACUAAAAAAAGGGGGGAGAAACAUAAUGAUUAGAAAAAAAUGGAUGUGGGUUUUGGGAAACAAGUUGAAGGAGAUGACUGAAAAUGCAAUAAUGAAAAAAAAAAAGAGAAAAAAAGAAAAAAAAAAAGAAAGAAAGAAAGCCCAAAAAUUACCAUUGUUUUGCGUGUAAAGUCAUACGGACCUGGCAUCCAAAGCUGCAGGGAAGGGUCCCUUUUUCACUUGUUCAAGUAUUUUCCAAAAACACCCCUUCUUCACUUCUUGUUACCUUCUUCUUCUUCUUCCUCUUCUUCUUCUUCUUCUUCCUGUGACUGUCUCUUUUCUUUUGUGGUAAAACUUUAAAAAGGCCUUAUCUGCCUUCUAGACUUGUUUUUUUUACCUUCUUGUUUGUAUUCUUAAGUUGUUUGUUUAUGACUGCAGCAUCUACUUUCAGUUGUUUCUUCUGUUGGCUUCCUCCUGUUUGUAUGUUUUUAAAUAUCAACUUCAAAUUUUGAGAAAGAUUGAGAUUUACCCUCUAUUUUACUUCCUUUUUU
rnacentral:lncRNA from 1 species